rnacentral:misc_RNA from 1 species
UCCGGCUUGUCACCGGCGGUUUCUCCAGAGUGCCCAUCACUACAUGCUGGCAACUGAAGAUGGGGGUUGCGCUCGUUGCGGGACUUAACCCAACAUCUCACGACACGAGCAGACGACAGCCAUGCAGCACCUGUGCGGCGUCCGGCCGAACCGAAGGGUGGGUCUCCCCACCCGCGACGCCCAUGUCAAGGGCUGGUAAGGUUCUGCGCGUUGCUUCGAAUUAAACCACAUGCUACACCGCUUGUGCGGGCCCCCGUCAAUUCCUUUGAGUUUUAAUCUUGCGACCGUACUCCCCAGGCGGAAUGCUUAAAGCGUUAGCUGCGCCACUGAGCAGCAAGCUGCCCAACGGCUGGCAUUCAUCGUUUACGGCGUGGACUAC